rnacentral:rRNA from 1 species
GUUGAUCCUGCCGGACCCGACUGCUAUUUGGGUGAGGAUAAGCCAUGCGAGUUGGAUGGGAUACCUAAACUUCCCAUAGCAAACUGCUUAGUAACACAUGAUCAACUUGCCCUAUGGAGAAAAAUAACCUCGGGAAACUGAGGAUAAUGUUUCAUAGUUGAAUAGGCUUGGAAAAGUUUUUCAAUGAAAGGAAUAAGAUAAAUGGAUCUUAUUUGCCAUAGGAUAGGAUCGUGGUCGAUUAUGGUAGUUGGUGAGAUAACGGCUCACCAAGCCGAUAAUCGAUAGGGGCCGUGAGAGCGGGAGCCCCAAGAUGGGUACUGAGACAGCGACCCAGGCCUUACGAGGCGCAGCAGGCGCGAGACCUCCGCAAUACACGAAAGUGUGACGGGGUUACCCAAAGUGUUCUCUUAAGAACUGUGGCAGGUGAGUAAUGUCCCCUGCUAGAAAGGAGAGGGCAAGGCUGGUGCCAGCCGCCGCGGUAAAACCAGCUCUUCAAGUGGUCGGGAUAAUUAUUGGGCUUAAAGUGUCCGUAGCCGGUUUAGUAAGUUCCUGGUAAAAUCGGGUAGCUUAACUAUCUGCAUGCUAGGAAUACUGCUAUACUAGAGGGCGGGAGAGGUCUGAGGUACUACAGGGGUAGGGGUGAAAUCUUAUAAUCCUUGUAGGACCACCAGUGGCGAAGGCGUCAGACUGGAACGCGCCUGACGGUGAGGGACGAAAGCCAGGGGAGCGAACCGGAUUAGAUACCCGGGUAGUCCUGGCCGUAAACGAUGCAUACUAGGUGAUGGUACGGCCAUGAGCCGUAUCAGUGCCGUAGGGAAACCGUUAAGUGUGCCGCCUGGGAAGUACGGUCGCAAGGCUAAAACUUAAAGGAAUUGGCGGGGGAGCACCACAAGGGGUGAAGCCUGCGGUUCAAUUGGACCCAACGCCGGGAAACUUACCAGGGGAGACAGUAGAAUGACGGUCAGGUUGACGACCUUACCUGAUGAGCUGAGAGGAGGUGCAUGGCCGUCGCCAGUUCGUGCCGUGAGGUAUCCUGUUAAGUCGGGCAACGAACGAGAUCCGCGCCUUUAUUUGCCAACAAGAAGUUACGACUUCGUUGGGAACACUAAAGGGACCGCCGUCGAUAAGACGGAGGAAGGAGCGGGCAAAGGCAGGUCAGUAUGCCCCGAAACCCCUGGGCUACACGCGGGCUGCAAUGGUAUGAACAAUGGGCUGUAACUCCGAAAGGAGAAACCAAUCCCGAAAUCAUAUCACAGUGGGGAUUGUUGGCUGUAACCCGCCGACAUGAACGUGGAAUCCCUAGUAAUCGUGUGUCAUCAUCGCACGGUGAAUACGUCUCUGCUCCUUGCACACACCGCCCGUCGCUCCAUCCGAGUGUACUAAAAAUGAGGUUUGGUCAGACUGGUCAUAUCGAGUUUCUAGUAUGCGAGGAGGGAGAAGUC